CUCAUCCAGAGCAGCGGAGGGACUGGCCCGAUGAAGCUGCGGCAACCAUUGACGAAGUCAAACGGUGCCAAUUCCGAUAGGCGGAUGCCUAAAAGAUGAGA
rnacentral:ncRNA from 1 species